CCUACGGGGUGCAGCAGUGAGGAAUAUUGGUCAAUGGGCGCGAGCCUGAACCAGCCAAGUCGCGUGAGGGAAGACGGUCCUAUGGAUUGUAAACCUCUUUUGUCGGGGAGCAAAAGACGCCACGCGUGGCGUUCCGCGAGUACCCGAAGAAAAAGCAUCGGCAAGUUCCGUGCCAGCAGCCGCGGUAAUACGGAGGAUGCGAGCGUUAUCCGGAUUUAUUGGGUUGACAGGGUUCGCAGGCGGAAGAUCACGUCAGUGGUAAAAUUGAGAGGCUCAACCUCUACGAGCCGUUGAAACUGGUUUUCUUGAGUGAGUGAGAAGUAUGAGGAAUGCGUGGUGUAGCGGUGAAAUGCAUAGAUAUCACGCAGAACUCCGAUUGCGAAGGCAGCAUACCGGCGUUCAACUGACGCUCAUGCACGAAAGUGUGGGUAUCGAACAGGAUUAGAUACCCGUGUAGUC
rnacentral:rRNA from 1 species